rnacentral:rRNA from 1 species
ACGGAAGGCAGCAGUGGGGAAUAUUGCACAAUGGGCGAAAGCCUGAUGCAGCGACGCCGCGUGAGUGAAGAAGUAUCUCGGUAUGUAAAGCUCUAUCAGCAGGGAAGAAAAUGACGGUACCUGACUAAGAAGCCCCGGCUAACUACGUGCCAGCAGCCGCGGUAAUAAGUAGGGGGCAAGCGUUAUCCGGAUUUACUGGGUGUAAAGGGAGCGUAGACGGUUUGGCAAGUCUGAAGUGAAAUGCGGGGGCUCAACUCCUGAACUGCUUUGGAAACUGUCGAACUAGAGUGCAGGAGAGGUAAGUGGAAUUCCUAGUGUAGCGGUGAAAUGCGUAGAUAUUAGGAGGAACACCAGUGGCGAAGGCGGCUUACUGGACUGUAACUGACGUUGAGGCUCGAAAGCGUGGGGAGCAAACAGGAUUAGAUACCCUGGUA